GUACUUGUUUUGGCAGCACAUAUACUAAAAUUGGAAUGAUAUAGAGAAGAUUCAAAUGGCCCCCACACAAGGAUGAUGUGAAGUUUCCAUAUUUUUAGUCUUGUUUC
ensembl:snRNA U6 U6 spliceosomal RNA